rnacentral:lncRNA from 1 species
GUGCUCUUCUCCAGCGGACUGUGAAGCGGAGCAGAUCGCCGUGUGCGGGGGGGUGGGGUAAUUCGUGCUACUGCUUGUUCGCGAGUUGGCCUUAAUCUCCCCUCCCUCCCGCGCGAGGAUUCCUCAUUGACAUCGCACGCGGCGCUGCCGACGCCCCCCCCCCUCCACGAGGCGGAGAGCGUCCGCCGGCCCGCCGGGUCGUGUCUGGGGCUUGUCUUGUUCAAACGAGCCGAGAGGUGAAGCGGCAGACGAGAUCAGACCGCUUCAUGAAACCGUAUACAGCCUGGAAUAUUUUAGCAAGGGCGCUUCGUAUACCAGAGACGGAAAGGUCAAGGGUUCGAGGGUUGGAUCUGCCUUUGUCACACCUGCCCACUGGUAUGGCGUCGGCUUUCGCCGUGAAAAGGGAAACAGGAGGCUGCUGCUGCCGUGUGGGUGACGCGGAG